rnacentral:snRNA from 1 species
GUGCUCGCUUUGGCAACACAUAUACCAAAACUGGAAUGAUACAGAAAAGAUUGGCGUGCCCCCUGAGAAUGGAUGACACACAAAAUUUGUGAAGCAUUAAAAUAAACA